rnacentral:rRNA from 1 species
AGAGUUUGAUCAUGGCUCAUAGCGAACGCUGGCGGCAGGCCUAACACAUGCAAGUCGAGCGGGCGUAGCAAUACGUCAGCGGCAGACGGGAGAGUAACACGUGGGAACGCGCCCUUCGGUUCGGAAUAACCCAGGGAAACUUGGACUAAUACCGGAUACGCCCUAACGGGGAAAGAUUUAUUGCCGAAGGAUUGGCCCGCGUCCGAUUAGCUAGUUGGUGAGGUAAUGGCUCACCAAGGCGACGAUCGGUAGCUGGUCUGAGAGGAUGAUCAGCCACACUGGGACUGAGACACGGCCCAGACUCCUACGGGAGGCAGCAGUGGGGAAUAUUGGACAAUGGGCGCAAGCCUGAUCCAGCCAUGCCGCGUGAGUGAUGAAGGCCCUAGGGUUGUAAAGCUCUUUCGCCAGGGACGAUAAUGACGGUACCUGGAUAAGAAGCCCCGGCUAACUUCGUGCCAGCAGCCGCGGUAAUACGAAGGGGGCUAGCGUUGUUCGGAAUCACUGGGCGUAAAGCGCACGUAGGCGGAUCUUUAAGUCAGGGGUGAAAUCCCGAGGCUCAACCUCGGAACUGCCUUUGAUACUGGAGGUCUCGAGUCCGGGAGAGGUGAGUGGAACUGCGAGUGUAGAGGUGAAAUUCGUAGAUAUUCGCAAGAACACCAGUGGCGAAGGCGGCUCACUGGCCCGGUACUGACGCUGAGGUGCGAAAGCGUGGGGAGC